rnacentral:tRNA from 1 species
ACCUCGGUGUCGCAAACGGUUAAGCGCUUGGCUACUAACCGAAAGGUUGGUGGUUCAAACCCACCCAGGGGUA